rnacentral:rRNA from 1 species
UACGUAGGGUGCGAGCGUUGUCCGGAAUUACUGGGCGUAAAGCGCGCGCAGGCGGUCCUUUAAGUCUGAUGUGAAAGCCCACGGCUCAACCGUGGAGGGUCAUUGGAAACUGGGGGACUUGAGUGCAGGAGAGAAGAGUGGAAUUCCACGUGUAGCAGUGAAAUGCGUAGAGAUGUGGAGGAAUACCGAUGGCGAAGGCAGCCCCCUGGGCCAAUACUGACGCUCAUGCACGAAAGCGUGGGGAGCAAACAGG